CAGCAGCCUUGUGACAUAGUCCCUUGCAUAUGUCUGUUGCUAGUGGAACACAACAAGGUUGCAAACAGCAACUCAAAGAGUAAAAAGGCGUGACUUCUGGAGGCUCAGAAGCAUCACGUGCGAUGUUCUUUGCACAAAACUCCUGCUUCCCACGGCGGUGAUUGCUAUUCUGUGCACAUCACCUUUCUUGAGGCAGGUAGAGAAAAAAACAUUGGCAGCCAGAUAUUGUCAAAAUCAGGUGAAGCACUACCUGUUUGACACUACUGGUUGUCACAGAU